UACGUAGGGGGCGAGCGUUGUCCGGAUUCAUUGGGCGUAAAGCGCGCGUAGGCGGCUCGACAAGUCGGCCGUGAAAUCUCCAGGCUCAACUUGGAGGGGUCGGGCGAGACUGUCGGGGCUCGAGGUGGGCAGAGGGCAGUGGAAUUCCAGGUGUAGUGGUGGAAUGCGUAGAGAGCCGGAGGAACACCAGUGGCGAAGGCGGCUGCCUGGGCCUGGCCUGACGCUGAGGCGCGAAAGCGUGGGGAGCGAUCCGG
rnacentral:rRNA from 1 species